GCAGGUGUAGCUCAGUGGUAGAGUGCAUGCUUUGCAUGUAUGAGGUUCUAGGUUCCAUCCCCGGCAUCUCCA
rnacentral:tRNA from 1 species